rnacentral:ncRNA from 2 species
GUGGCGUGAAUUUUUUCAGGUGUCCGCUUUGAGCGGAUGAAAAGGGAAUCCGGUGUAAAUCCGGAACGGGCCCGCCGCUGUAACUGGGGACAAUUAUUGCAUAAUGCCACUGUUUGAAGUUUGGAUGGGAAGGCGCAAUGAUUUGAUUGAUCCAGAAGUCAGAAGACCUGCCUGAAAAGUGAGUUUCGG